rnacentral:rRNA from 1 species
CAGUCGCCGCGGGAAUACAGAGGGUGCGAGCGUUAAUCGGAUUUACUGGGCGUAAAGCGUGCGUAGGCGGCUUUUUAAGUCGGAUGUGAAAUCCCUGAGCUUAACUUAGGAAUUGCAUUCGAUACUGGGAAGCUAGAGUAUGGGAGAGGAUGGUAGAAUUCCAGGUGUAGCGGUGAAAUGCGUAGAGAUCUGGAGGAAUACCGAUGGCGAAGGCAGCCAUCUGGCCUAAUACUGACGCUGAGGUACGAAAGCAUGGGGAGCAAACAGGAUUAGAUACCCGCGUAGUCCCUGUCUCUUAUAU